GAGUUUGAUCCUGGCUCAGGAUGAACGCUGGCGGUAUGCUUAACACAUGCAAGUCGAACGGGGUACUUCGGUACCUAGUGGCGGACGGGUGAGUAACGCGUGGGAAUCUGGCCUCAGGUCCGGGACAACCAUUGGAAACGGUGGCUAAUACCGGAUGUGCCUUUAGGUGGAAGAUUAAUUGCCUGAGGAUGAGCUCGCGUCUGAUUAGCUAGUUGGUGGGGUAAGAGCCUACCAAGGCGACGAUCAGUAACUGGUCUGAGUGGAUGACCAGUCACACUGGGACUGAGACACGGCCCAGACUCCUACGGGAGGCAGCAGUGGGGAAUUUUCCGCAAUGGGCGAAAGCCUGACGGAGCAAUACCGCGUGAGGGAGGAAGGCUCUUGGGUUGUAAACCUCUUUUCUCAGGGAAGAAUAAUGACGGUACCUGAGGAAUAAGCAUCGGCUAACUCCGUGCCAGCAGCCGCGGUAAUACGGAGGAUGCAAGCGUUAUCCGGAAUUAUUGGGCGUAAAGCGUCUGUAGGUGGAUAUUCAAGUCUGCUGUCAAAUCCCGGGGCUUAACCCUGGAAAGGCGGUGGAAACUGAAAAUCUAGAGUGCGGUAGGGGCAGAGGGAAUUCCCAGUGUAGCGGUGAAAUGCGUAGAGAUUGGGAAGAACACCGGUGGCGAAAGCGCUCUGCUGGGCCUGCACUGACACUGAGGGACGAAAGCUAGGGGAGCGAAUGGGAUUAGAUACCCCAGUAGUCCUAGCCGUAAACGAUGGAUACUAGGCGUAGCUUGUAUCGACCCAAGCUGUGCCGUAGCUAACGCGUUAAGUAUC
rnacentral:rRNA from 1 species